UCUCUAUCUCCCUCAUUCUCUGUCUCUCUCUUUCUCUCUCUCUCCUUCUCUCCUUCUCCAAGCUCUCUCUCUGCUCCACCGCCAAUACUUUUUUUUCCCCUUCCGUGUGUUUGUUCUCUUGGUGGCAUACGGAGGAACCGGUUAUGUGCAGCUCCAGCGCGUGCUGUCCCAGUGACUAGCCUAGCAGCAGCCCUGCCUCUCUCUCUAAAAUCGCCCGCUGCAGCUCCCUUGCCCCUUUUUCCGCUUUACGAUUUCAACACGAUGGCUGUUCUUUUUUUCGAGUCAUAUCUUUUUUUAGGUCUUUUUUUCCUCUUCAACCCUCUUCUCUUCCCGGAGUCCGAGCUACAAGCAGGCGAGUAAAAACUGUAAAGAAAGGUGACUGCGUGGAGGGAAGAUGAGGAGGCAGAAAAGGAGAGCAAGAGAGAAGGGAGGACGGGAACAGGACCGGAGCGAAGACUGGUGCUGAGCUGAAAGCAGUAACGAUAGAGCCAGGACGACAGGAGAGAAGGAACGGCCAACGAUCGAGUUGGAAUCGGACGAAAUCGCGGGAAACGGGGAAAAGGGCGAGAGGCAUCGGAUCACGGCUGUUGUCUUUGUUAGAAAAGGAGUCAUGCUCUCUGUCUACCAAGAGGUGGCGCUGCCCUGCGGUAUCUUCCCUUUACAGAACUUUCUCUGUCGAGGAUCAUCAAGGGGGAGAGGCGGAUGUGGUGGAGACAGUACUCGAUGACUUGACAAAAUGGAUCCAAGGCUUCUCCUUCUUUCUCUUCCCAGCAUGCCGUCUUCGCCAUGGCACAGUUACGCCAUCUGUUUGAGCAGUGAUGAGCUGUGCUGCGUUGCUGACCGGCAGACUGGAGAAGAAGCACUGUGAUGCAGCAGAAUGCAAAUGUCAGAUGAGGUCAUGUCUCAUGCUGAGACUGCGGGCCCAUGAUAAUAAUAAUAAUAAUAAAAAAUUUAAAAAAUUGAUUGUUUCCCACACAAAAUGUCUGUUGAAGUGCAUUUCCCAGUAUGCCCCUCUGUCCCUGAGACCCUUAACCUGUGAGGUCAUAGUAGGUCACAGGUGAGGUCCUCGGGAACAGGGCUGCAUUCAGUGUCAUCGUCUGAGCCUAAAAUCUCCUUUAAGUGAUGUUGUAUGACUUGCUAGACAUGUUGGUUUGCUUUUACCGUUAUCACAGUGGGCACUGCGUCAACACUCAUGGCCCAAAGCCAAAUCCCAAACAGAUAAGUGGUUGGAAGUCAGCUUGUUUCAUCCAGUCUCCAUCUGGCUGUGUCUGUGUUGACCGAUGUGAUGCGUACCUCUCAAGAUGCAAACAAAGCCUGUUGUGUCAAACAACAUAAGCAAAUCCUGCUUGAAGGAUCUCUCGGGAAUGGAUUCCUGGACAAGAGGAUAUCUAAUCCUCCCGCUGCAGAGGAAAUAUUAGGGGGCUGACCCUAUUGGCUGGCUUCAUGUCUCUCCAGUGGGACCCAAUAAGAAGACAGCCUAGGGUUGAGACCCCGUCAUAGUCUUCAGAAAACAGCUGUAAACUUCAAGAUUUAAAGCCCGCUUGUGCUGAAUUAGCAUGUAUUUCUUGUUGCGUGUUGCAUUUGAGGUUUAUUAAAUAAAGAUGUGUAUUA